rnacentral:misc_RNA from 1 species
UCUCCGUUGGUGAACCAGCGGAGGGAUCAUUACUGAGUUUACGCUCUAUAACCCUUUGUGAACCAAACUUGUUGCUUCGGGGGCGACCCUGCCGCUUCGGCGGUGCGGCGCCCCCGGAGGCCAUUAAACACUGCAUCAUUGCGUCGGAGUUAAAGUAAAUUAAACAAAACUUUCAACAACGGAUCUCUUGGUUCCAGCAUCGAUGAAGAACGCAGC